rnacentral:lncRNA from 1 species
AGACAUGAAGUUUUCAGCAUGUACAAUUGAAUCCACAAACUCUGUCAGUUUACUUAAAUUUACAUUUUUGGUGAAUAAAAUAUUUGUCUGGAAAACUUUGAAAAGCUCUAAUGGUCAUCUUUGUCCUUUUCACAGAAUUCUGGAGAGCUUGAUCAAGGCUUAUGAACACAUCUUGAGAAUAUCUUGUUGCAGUUGCUAUAUGAAUGAAUCUGAUCACCAAGGGACCAGUGGAGUCACACCAGGUCAAGUUCUUUACCUGCACGGAGUUAAUGUGGAAUCUAUGUGAAUAAUAAGGUACUGCUUCAUAUUAUGGUAUGUCAUUUUUAUAGGAGUAACACCAAUAAUAAAACUUUGAUAUUACAGCA